CCUCCGUUGUUCCGCCGUAUUUACUAUUUUUCACUUUUCUCAACCCUUACCCAGCAACGCCGCGUGAAGGAAGAAGGCUUUCGGGUUGUAAACUUCUUUUAAGAGGGAAGAGCAGAAGACGGUACCUCUUGAAUAAGCCACGGCUAACUACGUGCCAGCAGCCGCGGUAAUACGUAGGUGGCAAGCGUUGUCCGGAUUUACUGGGUGUAAAGGGCGUGCAGCCGGGAAGACAAGUCAGAUGUGAAAUCCCGCGGCUCAACCGCGGAACUGCAUUUGAAACUGUUUUUCUUGAGUACCGGAGAGGUCAUCGGAAUUCCUGGUGUAGCGGUGAAAUGCGUAGAUAUAAGGAAGAACACCAGUGGCGAAGGCGGAUGACUGGACGGCAACUGACGGUGAGGCGAGAAAGCGUGGGGAGCAAACAGGAUUAGAUACCCCAGUAGUC
rnacentral:rRNA from 1 species